rnacentral:rRNA from 1 species
UUGAACGCUGGCGGCAGGCCUAACACAUGCAAGUCGAGCGAGAAAGCCCUUCGGGGUGAGUACAGCGGCGGACGGGUGAGUAACGCGUAGGAAUCUACCCAGUAGUGGGGGACAACUUGGGGAAACCCAAGCUAAUACCGCAUACGCCCUAUGGGGGAAAGCGGGGGACCUUCGGGCCUCGUGCUAUUGGAUGAGCCUGCGUCGGAUUAGCUAGUUGGUGGGGUAAAAGCCUACCAAGGCGACGAUCCGUAGCUGGUCUGAGAGGAUGAUCAGCCACACUGGAACUGAGACACGGUCCAGACUCCUACGGGAGGCAGCAGUGGGGAAUAUUGCGCAAUGGGGGCAACCCUGACGCAGCCAUGCCGCGUGUGUGAAGAAGGCCCUAGGGUUGUAAACCUCUUU